rnacentral:rRNA from 1 species
AGAGUUUGAUCAUGGCUCAGGAUGAACGCUGGCGGCGUGCCUAACACAUGCAAGUCGUACGAGAACUCUUUAGCUUGCUAAAGAUAGUAAAGUGGCGCACGGGUGAGUAACGCGUGGGUAAUCUACCUCUGAAUUUGGGAUAACUCCGCGAAAGCGGGGCUAAUACCGGAUAAUAUUUCAGGAUCUUCGGGUCUUGAAAUCAAAAGUGGCCUCUACAUGUAAGCUACUGUUUGGAGAUGAGCCCGCGUACCAUUAGCUUGUUGGUAGGGUAAUGGCCUACCAAGGCUACGAUGGUUAGCUGGUCUGAGAGGAUGAUCAGCCACACUGGAACUGACACACGGUCCAGACUCCUACGGGAGGCAGC